GACGAACGCUGGCGGCGUGCUUAACACAUGCAAGUCGAACAGUGGCGAACGGGUGAGUAACACGUGUGUAACCUGCCCUCCACUUUGGGAUAACUCCGCGAAAUCGGGGCUAAUACUGGAUAGUGGGGGAUGGGCUCGCGGCCUAUCAGUUUGUUGGUGAGGUAGUGGUCACCAAGGAGUGACGGGUAGCCGGCCUGAGAGGGAGACCGGCCACAGUGGGACUGGGAAGCGGGCCGGAGUCCUACGGGAGGCAGGAGUGGGGAAUAGUGCAAAAUGGGCGAAGGCGUGAUGCAGCGACGCCGCGUGGGGGAGGACGGCCUUCGGGUUGUAAACCUCUUUCAGCAAGGAAGCGGUACUUGCAGAAGAAGCGCCGGCUAACUACGUGCCAGCAGCCGCGGUAUAC
rnacentral:rRNA from 1 species